AGACUUGUUCUGUGACUGCGUACCUUUUGUAUAAUGGGUCAGCGACUUAUAUUUAGUAGCAAGGUUAAGCGAAUAGCGGAGCCGUAGCGAAAGCGAGUGUUAACUGCGCGUUUAGUUGCUAGGUAUAGACCCGAAACCCGGUGAUCUAGCCAUGGGCAGGUUGAAGGUUGAGUAACAUCAACUGGAGGACCGAACCCACUAACGUUGAAAAGUUAGGGGAUGACUUGUGGCUGGGGGUGAAAGGCCAAUCAAACCGGGAGAUAGCUGGUUCUCCCCGAAAUCUAUUUAGGUAGAGCCUCGGACGAAUUCCAUUGGGGGUAGAGCACUGUUAAGGCUAGGGGGUCAUCCCGACUUUCCAACCCUUUGCAAACUCCGAAUACCAAUGAGAACUAUCCGGGAGACACACGGCGGGUGCUAACGUCCGUCGUGAAGAGGGAAACAACCCAGACCGCCAGCUAAGGUCCCAAAAUAUUGCUAAGUGGGAAACGAUGUGGGAAGGCAUAGACAGCUAGGAGGUUGGCUUAGAAGCAGCCACCCUUUAAAGAAAGCGUAAUAGCUCACUAGUCGAGUCGGCCUGCGCGGAAGAUGUAACGGGGCUAAGCAAUAUACCGAAGCUGCGGAUACGUGUUUACACGUAUGGUAGGGGAGCGUUGUGUAAGUGGAUGAAGGUGGAUUGAGAAGUCUGCUGGACAUAUCACAAGUGCGAAUGCUGACAUGAGUAACGAUAAUGGGAGUGAAAAACUCCCACGCCGGAAGACCAAGGUUUCCUGUCCCAUGCUAAUCAGGGCAGGGUAAGUCGGCCCCUAAGGCGAGGCAGAAAUGCGUAGUCGAUGGGAAACGGAUUAAUAUUUCCGUACUUAUAUAAUCAGUGAUGGAGGGACGGAGAAGGCUAAGCAAGCUUGGCGUUGGUUGUCCAAGUGAAAGCAAGUAGGCCGAGUGUUUAGGUAAAUCCGGACGCUUAAAGCUGAGAUGCGAGACGAGCUACUACGGUAGUGAAGUUGUUGAUGCCCUGCUUCCAGGAAAAGCUUCUAAACUUAUGAUUAUAUAAACCGUACCCCAAACCGACACAGGUGGUCAGGUAGAGAAUACUAAGGCGCUUGAGAGAACUCGGGUGAAGGAACUCGGCAAAAUUGUACCGUAACUUCGGGAGAAGGUACGCCCUUGUUUGUGAUAGGACUUGCUCCUUGAGCAGAUGAGGGCCGCAGUGACCAGGUGGCUGGGACUGUUUAUUAAAAACACAGCACUCUGCUAACUCGCAAGAGGACGUAUAGGGUGUGACACCUGCCCGGUGCCGGAAGGUUAAUUGAUGGGGUUAUCUUCGGAGAAGCUCUUGAUCGAAGCCCCGGUAAACGGCGGGCGUAACUAUAACGGUCCUAAGGUAGCGAAAUUCCUUGUCGGGUAAGUUCCGACCUGCACGAAUGGUGUAACCAUGGCCACGCUGUCUCCACCCGAGACUCAGUGAAAUUGAAAUCGCAGUGAAGAUGCUGUGUACCCGCACCUAGACGGAAAGACCCCGUGAACCUUUACUACAGCUUGGCACUGAACAUUGAACCUACAUGUGUAGGAUAGGUGGGAGGCUUCGAAGCACAGUCGCUAGAUUGUGUGGAGCCGUCCUUGAAAUACCACCCUUGUAUGUUUGAUGUUCUAACAUUGGUCCCUUAUCGGGAUUAUGGACAGUGUCUGGUGGGUAGUUUGACUGGGGCGGUCUCCUCCCAAAUAGUAACGGAGGAGCACGAAGGUUAGCUAAUCACGGUCGGACAUCGUGAGGUUAGUGCAAUGGCAUAAGCUAGCUUAACUGCGAGACAGACACGUCGAGCAGGUACGAAAGUAGGUCAUAGUGAUCCGGUGGUUCUGUAUGGAAGGGCCAUCGCUCAACGGAUAAAAGGUACUCCGGGGAUAACAGGCUGAUACCGCCCAAGAGUUCAUAUCGACGGCGGUGUUUGGCACCUCGAUGUCGGCUCAUCACAUCCUGGGGCUGAAGUCGGUCCCAAGGGUAUGGCUG
rnacentral:rRNA from 1 species